UUUUCUGGUUGCAGCCUAAGCAAUUAGGCUGAUGGCUGGUGACUUUUUAGUCACCAGCCU
rnacentral:sRNA from 2 species